rnacentral:rRNA from 1 species
AUGAACGCUGGCGGCGUGCCUCAUACAUGCAAGUCGCACGGGGAGUAGCAAUACUCUUAGUGGCGAACGGGUGAGUAACGCGUUGGUACCUGCCCCGAAGCGGGGGAUAACGGACCGAAAGGUCCGCUAAUACCCCAUGUGCUCGGUAACGAGUAAAGGUGAAAACCACUUUGGGAGGGGCCUGCGUCCCAUCAGCUAGUUGGUAAGGUAACGGCUUACCAAGGCGAUGACGGGUAGGGGACCUGAGAGGGUGGCCCCCCACAAUGGAACUGAAACACGGUCCAUACACCUACGGGUGGCAGCAGUAGGGAAUAUUGGUAAUGGGCGCAAGCCUGAACCAGCAACGCCGCGUGUGCGAUGACGGCCUUCGGGUUGUAAAGCACUUUUGACUGGGACGAGGAAGGACGGUACCGGUCGAAUCAGCCUCGGCUAACUACGUG